UUCAACUGGGCAGAAUAAUUAGCUAAAAUUGGAAUUUACCAGAUGGCCGCUGCCUACCCUGGAUGGUCACAUCACAGGUGUGCUCUUCUCUGAUCUGGCCCUGCACUAUUCCCUUCUGUGGUAGCUUGGAGGUGUCCUCAGGUCUCUGCUACACAUCCCCUCCAAAUGAUGCAGAGGCCUGCCAUGCACCUGGGAAAGAAGACAUGUUAAGGAAGAAAGGCCUGAAGAAUCAAUCUAUCUUGUUAUACUGUUGCAGAAUUCUCUCCUCACUCAUAAGACGCAGUUGAAUCUCCAUUGGACCUGGGAGUACCAGCCGUGGCAACCUUGGAAGCAGGAUUCUAGAACAAAUAUGUAACCAGCCAGCCCAGCAAAAGGAAGCCCUAAUUAUCCAGAGUGCCCAGGAACACCAAACCAAGGAGGGCUUUGAAUUUGGAACUUGGGACUCUACUAUAUAGGAAUUAAACUAAACUGGGAACUUAAUUCCCUUCUUCUCCCCAGAGAAUGAGGUGAAGGGAGGGGGGAGGAGAUUAUCACUCCCCGGGUAUUGAGGGGAUGGGAUAUUUGUGUAUUUGUUCUUGCUUUGAAGUAAACAUAAAGAUUCCUUUGUAAAAGCUAA